rnacentral:lncRNA from 1 species
AAUAGUAUGCUGCUGAUCCUGAGGUUUCACCCCUCCAAAAUAGACAGCACUCUUAUGCAAGUUGGCUGUCAUACCAGAAGCUGCAGUGAACUAAGAGAAAUAAGUAAACAUAUUACUUACAGAGUGAGGUUCUCCUUUGACAAACAACAACAAGUCAUCAGCAAAACUUAAGUGAGUUAUUCCCAGUUUUUUACAACCAGGAU